GUAAAUCUGUUGAUCACCGUCGCACGAUUGCACCUGUUAGCUAUCAAAAUAGAUAUAUGUUGUAUUUCAGUUGUUAGAGUUACAUAGUAAAUCAUGUCUGGGUGGCUUAGGAUUGUUGUUAAAAGAUAAAUGAGAAGCUCCAAAUGACGCCGACAAAGAUGGCCAGGAAGCCUGACACCAUCAGGACGUAAGCAAGGAUGAGUGCCCAUGAGUCUACGUCGUCGUUGCCGCCCUGUUGGGACAGCAGCAGAAAAACGGCUUGCUUGCGGAAGAUCUUCACCAGCAAGUCGUCCAGCUCCACCUCCUGGAGCUUGGCCAACAGCUGCUCCUCGUUGCGACACACCUUCUCCUGAGCGUACAGCCCGUCCGGCAUCACCCGCUGCUGGCCCAGGCCAAUCAGAGCCGUCUCCACCGCCAGCGCCACGUACGACUCGCCAUCGCCCAGCAGUCUCUGCACGGGCAUGCGCUGGAGGUCUGCUCGAGUCACCACACUGGAGCAGUCUAGGAAGAAACAUGAAUAUGAGUCGUUUUUAAAAUAAAUUCUGAUU